rnacentral:rRNA from 1 species
AGCAGCCGCGGUAAUUCCAGCUCCAAUAGCGUAUAUUAAAGUUGUUGCAGUUAAAAAGCUCGUAGUUGAAUUUCGGGGUUAGUAGGUUGGUCAUGCCUCUGGUAUGUACUGGUCUCACUGAUUCCUCCUUCCUGAUGAACCUUAAUGCCAUUUAUUUGGUGUUUUGGGGAAUUUGGACUGUUACUUUGAAAAAUUAGAGUGUUUAAAGCAAACUAACGCUUGAAUACAUUAGCAUGGAAUAAUGAAAUAGGACGUUCGAUCCUAUUUUGUUGGUUUCUAGGAUUGACGUAAUGAUUAAUAGGGAUAGUUGGGGGCAUUAGUAUUCAAUUGUCAGAGGUGAAAUUCUUGGAUUUAUUGAAGACUAACUACUGCGAAAGCAUUUGCCAAGGAUGUUUUCAUUAAUCAAGAACGAAAGUUAGGGGAUCGAAGACGAUCAGAUACCGUCGUAGUCUUAACCAUAAACUAUGCCGACUAGGGAUCGGAUGAUGUUAAUUUUUAAUGACUCA